CCUACGGGUUGCAGCAGUAGGGAAUCUUCGGCAAUGGACGAAAGUCUGACCGAGCAACGCCGCGUGAGUGAUGAAGGUUUUCGGAUCGUAAAACUCUGUUGGUAGAGAAGAACGUUGGUGAGAGUGGAAAGCUCAUCAAGUGACAGUAACUACCCAGAAAGGGACGGCUAACUACGUGCCAGCAGCCGCGGUAAUACGUAGGUCCCGAGCGUUGUCCGGAUUUAUUGGGCGUAAAGCGAGCGCAGGUGGUUUAUUAAGUCUGGUGUAAAAGGCAGUGGCUCAACCAUUGUAUGCAUUGGAAACUGGUAGACUUGAGUGCAGGAGAGGAGAGUGGAAUUCCAUGUGUAGCGGUGAAAUGCGUAGAUAUAUGGAGGAACACCGGUGGCGAAAGCGGCUCUCUGGCCUGUAACUGACACUGAGGCUCGAAAGCGUGGGGAGUAAACAGGAUUAGAUACCCCUGUAGUC
rnacentral:rRNA from 1 species